AGAAUCAACGCUGGCGGCGUGCCUAACACAUGCAAGUCGAACGAGAAAGUGGAGCAAUCCAUGAGUAAAGUGGCGACCGGGUGAGUAACACGUGACUAACCUACCUUCGAGUGGGGAAUAACCUCGGGAAACCGGGCUAAUACCGCAUAAUGUCUUCGGACCAAAGGAGCAAUUCGCUUGAAGAGGGGGUCGCGGCCGAUUAGCUAGUUGGCGGGUAACGCCCACCAAGGCGAUGAUCGGUAG
rnacentral:rRNA from 1 species